UGGGUAGGGGAGCGUUCUGUAAGCCCGUGAAGGUGGCCUGUGAGGCAUGCUGGAGGUAUCAGAAGUGCGAAUGCUGACAUAAGUAACGAUAAAGCGGGUGAAAAGCCCGCUCGCCGGAAGACCAAGGGUUCCUGUCCAACGUUAAUCGGGGCAGGGUGAGUCGACCCCUAAGGCGAGGCCGAAAGGCGUAGUCGAUGGGAAACGGGUUAAUAUUCCCGUACUUGGUGUUACUGCGAAGGGGGGACGGAGAAGGCUAUGUUGGCCGGGCGACGGUUGUCCCGGUUUAAGCGUGUAGGUGUGUGUUCCAGGUAAAUCCGGUUCACUUUAACACUGAGGCGUGACGACGAGGCACUACGGUGCUGAAGCAACAAAUGCCCUGCUUCCAGGAAAAGCCUCUAAGCAUCAGGUAACACGAAAUCGUACCCCAAACCGACACAGGUGGUCAGGUAGAGAAUACCAAGGCGCUUGAGAGAACUCGGGUGAAGGAACUAGGCAAAAUGGUGCCGUAACUUCGGGAGAAGGCACGCUGACACGUAGGUGAAGUGAUUUACUCAUGGAGCUGAAGUCAGUCGAAGAUACCAGCUGGCUGCAACUGUUUAUUAAAAACACAGCACUGUGCAAACACGAAAGUGGACGUAUACGGUGUGACGCCUGCCCGGUGCCGGAAGGUUAAUUGAUGGGGUCAGCGCAAGCGAAGCUCCUGAUCGAAGCCCCGGUAAACGGCGGCCGUAACUAUAACGGUCCUAAGGUAGCGAAAUUCCUUGUCGGGUAAGUUCCGACCUGCACGAAUGGCGUAAUGAUGGCCAGGCUGUCUCCACCCGAGACUCAGUGAAAUUGAACUCGCUGUGAAGAUGCAGUGUACCCGCGGCAAGACGGAAAGACCCCGUGAACCUUUACUAUAGCUUGACACUGAACAUUGAGCCUUGAUGUGUAGGAUAGGUGGGAGGCUUUGAAGUGUGGACGCCAGUCUGCAUGGAGCCGACCUUGAAAUACCACCCUUUAAUGUUUGAUGUUCUAACGUGGACCCGUAAUCCGGGUUGCGGACAGUGUCUGGUGGGUAGUUUGACUGGGGCGGUCUCCUCCUAAAGAGUAACGGAGGAGCACGAAGGUUGGCUAAUCCUGGUCGGACAUCAGGAGGUUAGUGCAAUGGCAUAAGCCAGCUUGACUGCGAGCGUGACGGCGCGAGCAGGUGCGAAAGCAGGUCAUAGUGAUCCGGUGGUUCUGAAUGGAAGGGCCAUCGCUCAACGGAUAAAAGGUACUCCGGGGAUAACAGGCUGAUACCGCCCAAGAGUUCAUAUCGACGGCGGUGUUUGGCACCUCGAUGUCGGCUCAUCACAUCCUGGGGCUGAAGUAGGUCCCAAGGGUAUGGCUGUUCGCCAUUUAAAGUGGUACGCGAGCUGGGUUUAGAACGUCGUGAGACAGUUCGGUCCCUAUCUGCCGUGGGCGCUGGAGAACUGAGGGGGGCUGCUCCUAGUACGAGAGGACCGGAGUGGACGCAUCACUGGUGUUCGGGUUGUCAUGCCAAUGGCACUGCCCGGUAGCUAAAUGCGGAAGAGAUAAGUGCUGAAAGCAUCUAAGCACGAAACUUGCCCCGAGAUGAGUUCU
rnacentral:rRNA from 1 species